AUUGAACGCUGGCGGCAUGCCUAACACAUGCAAGUCGAACGAGUGGCGGACGGGUGAGUAAUGUCUGGGAACCUGCCUGAUGGAGGGGGAUAACUACUGGAAACGGUAGCUAAUACCCCAUACCAUCAGAUGUGCCCAGAUGGGAUUAGCUUGUUGGUGGGGUAACGGCUCACCAGGGCGACGAUCCCUAGCGGGUCUGAGAGGAGGACCAGCAACACUGGAAUGGGGACACGGUCCAGACUCCUAGGGGAGGAAGCAGUGGGGAAUAUUGCACAAGGGGCGAAAGCCUGAUGAAGCCAUGCCGCGUGUAUGAAGAAGGCCUUCGGGUUGUAAAGUACUUUCAGCGGGGAGGCGUUACCUGCAGAAGAAGCACCGGCUAACUCCGUGCCAGCAGCCGCGGUAAUUC
rnacentral:rRNA from 1 species